CCCUGCUCUUCCUGAGUAAUUCAGUGGCAGCAGGGAGGGGGCCAGGGCGUGAGAAGUCAUGGUGGGCUCAGGGCCAGGGGUGGAAGCUCCUUGGCCACACCGGGCAACUGCAGAAUCAAAAUCAGUGAGGAUGGCAACAAAUGAUGCAGGAAAACCCAGGAAAGCAGAGUCCACAGGAGGUCAGGGAAGGGUGAAGUGGACGGCCUGAUUGCCCAGCUCAACGCGCCCACACACAAAUCUCAACUCAUUCCAAAGGGAAGAGUCCCUUUUCUGGAAGAGUGGAAAAAUCAGGCAGAUGCCAUCUUAAUCAAAUGACCCAAAGAAAUGUCAUCAAUAAUGUGACAAAAUCAUGCCCAUCUUGAGGACACAGCCUCACUUUCAUGAUCUUCCUGAAUCUCGUCAUGGGAAGGUGUCAGGCAAGCCAAGAUGGAGGAGUGACUGACAAAAUAACUGCCUGUGACCUUCAGAGAGGUCAAGGUCAGGAGAGUCAAGGGAAGACUGAGGAACCCCCAGCGGGGAGCAGACUGAGGAGACAUGAGCAAACCCAGCACAGACGUCUCCGCUGGAUCCUUUGCUACAGGGAUCUCCAUGGGGACAGCAGGUGGCUUCCUGUCCAACCCUGCUGUUCUGUGGCACAUAGGACUGUCACCCUGCUCCCUGCCUUCAUGGGCAGCUGGUCUCCUACCCGUGUGCAGGUCUCCCUUGUGUCCAGAUCUCCCUUUUAUACAGACACCAAUCCUGGAGGAUGUGGGUCCCCUAUGACCUCACCUCCAUUUGCUCACAUCUGUAAAGACCCAAUUUCCACAAAAGGUCACAGUCCAAGUACUGGAGGUUGUGACAUCAGGACCUUCUGGCAGGACACAGUUCAACUCCUGAGCCCUUCUUUAGGAAAGGCAGGGUGUGACAAACAAUGGUAAUGUCCCUCAACAUUGGGUCCACGCCAGAUGCUGCCUGGGGUCUUGAGACUCCUGUCACCCUCUCCAGGAUUCAGGUGCCAGGUGUGAUAAGGGGCAC
rnacentral:lncRNA from 1 species